GGGCCGCUCACCUGGCGGCUCACCUGGCCGCCGCCCUCACCCCCGCGAGCGCGGCGCCGUCCUGGCCUGAUCCCCGGAGGCGCGGAAGGCGCGGGCGUCGCGGCGGGGAGCGGGGCGCGGGGCGCGGGGCGCGGGGAGCGGGGCCCUCCACCUGCAGCCCGGCUCUGGCUCCCGGCGGCGGUCGGCGUGGCCGGGAUGGAGCCUGUGACGUGCACGGUGCUUCGGGUUCCCGCACUUGGAGGCUGCAGCCGGGCCGGGGGGAAGAGUCAGCCUCGCAAAGUUGUGGAGGUGCGGGCUCCCCGGCACCCAGGCCCGGAGCCGGCUCUCCCGGGGAAAGGCGCGCCUCCUCCACCUUCGGGCGGCGGGGAAGGGCCCUGGGCAGCCCUGCGGCGGCCUCUGCCCGAGGGAGGCGCCGGCCCGAGGCUGGCUACCGGAGAGGAGGAGGAAAUCCCGCUCGCUCCUGGCCUGGUAACAAUGGGGGUUGUUUGUAACAGCUGCUGAAAGGGUUCCGAGCAGCUUUUAAAACAGUGUGUGCGUCCCGGUCCGCUAGGAAGGGUUCUGUGGCGGGGGAGGGAGGGGAAGGGCAGGGAGCAGCCGCGUGAAUCGCCCCGCGAGGGUCGUCUCCGCGCUCGGUUCUCUCGGCUGCUGCGCAGACUUUAACAGCACAAAAAACACUUCGCUCGGGAUUUGUGCCCGCUUAGGAAAUCAUUUUAAUAGCGCCUAUGUUUAAUACUUGCUAAAAUAACCAGCUCCUAGGGAACAAAACAUGUUUGGCAAAUUUGGACAUUCCUAGGAAAUUUAGUCCCUUUAUCAUUAUAUUCCACUUUAUAUUUUUGAGAACAUUGGACUGUUGCUUGUCUGAUUUCUUGAUUUUUGCCAGUCAUGGGAAGGAUUCCAUUUCUUCUGUCUUCAUCUGUACCUGUGACUACACUUGACAUGGGUAGCUAGCCAUUUGUCUUAAUCCUUAGUUGAUGCUGAUACAUGUCAUGAGGCUCAGGUUGCCAGUUUGAGCAUACAUAUUAUAUUAUGUUAAGUUACUCCUGAUUCAUUCAUCUUCUGUAAUGAUUUUAUCAGUUAGGUUUUAGUAACCAAGUUAGUACUGUGUACUUAAGUGUUUGUUCAUAGACUAUUUAGUAUGUCUUCAGUAAAGUGACAUGAUAAUUUAGUUUCAGGAUUAUGUUUUCUUUCGGAAUAGUGAGUUCAUUUUUCUUUUUAUCACAAGAUUAAAAAAAUUGACCAUAAAACAUUUUCUUGGUACAUAGUUGUUUUUUGUUUGUUUGAAUGGAUUUUUUUUUUUUUUUUGAGAUAUUUCUCUAGUCUGGUGAAAAGGAGUCUUUUUUCAGUUUUAUAAAGAUAAUUCAGCUUUUUGGUAUCUUGAAUUAGCAUUUAAAAAACUCAAAUCAGAAACAUAGUUCAUUGAUUUAAAUAAGUUCUAUUUUAAGCACUCAAUUGAAACUUUUUCUUAGUGAUAUGACUAGUUAUUUAAAUCGGUCUGUCAUUUGGAAAGCGAUUUUUUCAGUUGCAUUAUAAGUGAAAGUUUGUUGUGCACAUAUAUUGAAGCAAAGCAAGAAUUGGAGGACUUAAAACAAAUUAUUUCAUUAACUAUUUUUCCCCUACUUAUAUCUGAACAUUUUUAUUUUUAGAAAUUAUUCUUCAGAAUUGUAUUAGAAGCCUUUUAUAAUGAAUUGUUUUUUAAUAAUGUCUUUUUUUUUUUAAGCUUUUUCACUAUAUAGUGGCUGGCUGACACUUUCUGUUUUGCUUUCUGGGGAACCUUCUUGUGCUAUUUACAUUUAUUCUGGUCCUAGUUAAGCUUUACAUUUAACAUAUUGUAUCUUUCAUUAUGAUGUAGAUAAAUUUAUGAGUAAUUCUCUAAACCAAUAUUUCAAGGCAACAGUUUCAAUUUGCUUUUUCUAAGCUCACGUGAAUUUUUUUUUUCUUUUAACCAUCUAGUGAUUAUUUUUACUGUAUUUGGCCAUCACUAAUCCAAUUUUUUAGUUUUCUGCAAGAACAAAAGCAUUGUGCUGGUCCUUAUCAGAUGUUAAGUAAAUGUUGAACAAAUUCACUACAGAAGUUGAUUUGUAGAAAUAAGAUUUAAGCCUUGUAUUUAUUUACUUGGGUAAUCUUUUUAUGUGUCUGAGAGUAUAGCUGUGGGGUUUUUUUUGUUUGUUUGUUUUUGUAGAGUGAUAAGUAUCUAUUUUCAGAUUUUAUAACUUCAUUAAUCAUCUGUGAUUGGUGGUUUCAGGCAGCUUUGAUAACCACUGAUAAUUUUGUGGUUUCUGUGUGUAGGAAGAUGAUAAACUUGGUUCUUUGGAUUACAUUCUUUUUUUAAGAAAAUUAGAGUAUGUUUUAACAUUCUGGCUAAGUUUGCUUUUUCCUUCAUAUUCAUGUUUGUAUGUAAAAGAACGGCUUCCAAAGAAAAAGACUUAUCACUGGAGUGUUUUUCAGCCUGUCACUUGGAUCCUAGAUUCAUUUGGAAUUCAUAAAAUGAGAGUUGAUCUAAACCUAAUGUUAUUUUAUAACCAGGAGAUUGAUGCUAAGCUAACUUAAUGUCUUGAUUACUGUGAAAAGCUGUAGCUCGCAGAAGCUCUUUAAAAUAUGUAUAGUCCCUUCUUUGCUUAUUUUUAAUGUUACGGCUUGUUUUCUUUUAGGGAUUCCUAAUUAAUUAUGACAUCAGAGUCCUUUUAAUCUUUCUGUCACCUCCUCAGAAGAGGGUGUCUCUGGUUAUCCAAAGGUCUCCCUGUUGUUGUUUUUAAGAGGUGGGGUUUCACCUUGUUGACCAGGCUGGUCUCGAACUCUUGACCUCCGGUGAUCUGCCCGCCUGGGCCUCCCAAAGUGCUGGGAUUACAGGCGUGGGUUACCACUCCCGGCCCCUUCUUACUUUGGAUACUAA